GCCAGGAGUAGUGGUGUACACCUGUAAUCCCAGCUACUUGGGAGGCUGAGGCAGGAGAAUCGCUUGAACCUGGGAGGCACAGGGUGCAGUGAGCCAAGAUCGGGCCACUGCACUCCAGCCUGGGUGACAAAGCAAGACUUUGUCUCAA
rfam:Homo sapiens chromosome 12, GRCh38 reference primary assembly.